CUCAUGAUCCGCCUGCUUCAGCCUCCCAAAGUGCUGGGAUUACAGAUGUGAGCCACCGCGCCCAGCUGAGAGUUUUUCUUUUGCAUCAUAGUUUAAGUCUACAAAUAAUUGCCCCUUUUAAAACAGUUAUUUAACAGAAGAAAUAGAAAAAUACACAAUUUAGGAAGUACAAACCCAGGAUUCUGUGGUGCAAGGAUGGUACCAGGGCUUGUGGUCUGUGAUAAUAGAAGAUUGAAGCUUCUGAUAUUAAGCACGACAGAGACAAAGGAGUCGUUUCAUGACAGCAAAUUACUUUUCCCUAAUGGUUCUGGAUCUUUCAUUAGUAAGAAGGAUGUCUAUAUUUGAUACACUUUCUGUAAAAGUGAGGUAGGUUAUGAACUUAGGAAUUCUUUUUUCCUCAGGGAAAUGUUUCUCUUUCUGUAGAACUCGACACGUGUUGAUCUAUUGAGUAUCAAGCAACCAAAACCUAAAAACCUCCUCCCAGCAUCAUGCCAUGCCCAGCGUGUUUCUUGAGUAGUACUUGCAUUGUAUGUUUUCUUUUAGAGACUAACUUAAUAAAAAGAUAUAAUUUAAAACACCCAGAGGACUAGUUAGAUGCCAUCUUCCUCCAAAAUGGAGUUGGACUCCAUUUUCUCUUCCUUCCCUCCAGUUUUAAUUUUAUAAACUAAAUACCUGACAAUUUAUAUCUAUAAAGCCUGUUGAGAUCAUGGAAUAUUAGCACUUAUUGUUGCUGAUUGAGAGAAGACUCACAAUUCUUGAAUAUUGGAUGAAGCAGUGGAUAGGAUGUCAUUGAUGUUCUGCCAAAAAAGUUCAUGUAUUAAACCAAAGUUCCUUCUUGAAUAGAAGACUGUCCCAUCUCUACCCAUAGGCUCCACUUCACAGGUCCAAGAGCCCAUCAGAAAGAAGAUUGGUAGAAUUAUUACUUUGUCAACCAAUUAGAAGGCCUGCCAAAUAUGAGAUGUAUAAAAAUAAUUUCAGUGCUGUUUCCCCAUUUUCUUUCCUGAGAAUCUCUAGUUUUCUCAUCAUAUCAUUAAAAGCCCAAAACGAAACAAAAUAUUAUUUGUAUUUUUCAAAAAAUUGAUUAUCCAGAGGAAACUCCAGCUUUCUAGUGUAGUAUUUUCUAACUUUGGAGGAAAUCAAGAGCCUUAAGGACUACAUAUCACUUAGUAAAGGGUAGAAACUUAUGGGAAUAAGAAUUUUCUCUAACAUUGGGAAGGCUGGGAGAGGUUCUAGUGCUUCAGGAGGAUUUCAGAUUCCCCCACCGUGGGCCUAAUUAUUUCAUAGACUCAGUUCAGCUAAACUACCAUCAUAAAAGGCAGACAUACAUGGUUGCCCCAAUUAUAAAAUCAGUUGACAUCAAGUUUUCCAGAUUAAAUCACUAGUGAUGGAUUGAUUUCUGGAUCCAGGAAGCAUAUUCUUUUUUUUUUUUUUUUUUGGGUUGGGGGAGGGACAGGUUUUCUCUCUGUUGCCAAGGCUGGAGUGCAGUAGCAUGAUCCCCAGCUCACUGCAGCUUCCACCUCCCAGGCUCAAGCAGUCCUCCCAUCUCAGCCUCCUAAGUAGCUAGGAUUACAGACUGUGCCACCACACCCAACCAAUUUUUUAUUUUAUGUAUGUAUGUAUUUAUUUAUUUAUUUGGAGAGACAGGGUUUUGUCAUGUUGUCCGGGCUGAUCUUCACCACACCCAGCCAAUUUUUUUGUUUGUUUGUUUUGUUUGGAGAGACAGGGUUUUGUCUUGUUGUCCGGGCUGAUCUUGAACUCCUGGGCUCAAGCAGUCCACCCACCUUGGCCUCCCAAAGUGCUGGGAUUGUUGGCAUGAGCUACCAUGCCCAACUGCAUAUUCUGACAGCAGCCCAUUUCAAGGCCAGUGAGGUGUUGUUGUUGUUGUUGUUGUUGUUGUUGUUGUUGUUGUUGUUGUUUGAGAUGGAGUCUUGCUCUGUCACCCAGGCUGGAGUGCAGUGGUGCGAUCUCAGCUCACUGAAUCCUCCACUUCCCAGGUUCAAGCGAUUCUCCUGCCUCAGCCUCCUGAGUAGCUGGGAUUACAGUCACAUACCACCAUGCCCAGCUAAUUUUUAUAUUUUUAGUAGAGACCGGGUUUCCCCAUGUUGGCCAGACUGGUCUCAAACUCCUGACCUCAGGUGGUCCAUCCACCUCGGCCUCCCAAAGUGCUGGGAUUACAGGCAUGAGCCACCACACUCGGCUGGCCAGUGAGUUUUAUUAGAUAAAAAGUAUGUAGAGAAUGUUUGAAAUUAUAUUUAUAACAGAAAAUGAAUGACCAUAUUCAUUUUGUUUUCUUUAUAAAAUAAGCUUCUUCUAAACAGUGAAAUGAUAUUUUUUCCUAGUUUUAUUAAGGUUUAGUUGGCAAAUAAAAAUUGUGUACAUUGACUGUGUACAAUGCAAUGUUUGAUGUAUGUAUACCUUGUGAAAUGAUUAAAUCCAGCUAAUCAACAUAUUCAUCAUCUCACAUAUUUUGUGGUGAGAAAAUUUAAAAUCUGCUAUUUUAGCAAUUUUCAAGUGUACAAUAUGUUGUUAACUAUAGUCACCGUGCUUCACAAUAGAUCAACAGAAUUCCUGUCUAACUGAAACUGUGUACCCUUUGAACAACAUCUCCCCAUGUUCCUCUGUGCCGCCCCCUUCCCACUGCCCCUUGCUCCUGGCAACUGCCACUCUACUCUCUGCUGCUAUGAAUUUGAUUUUUUAAGAUUCCGCAUGUAAGUGAGAUCAUACAAUGUUUGUCUCUCUGUCCCUGGCUUAUUUCAUUUAACAUAAUGUCCUCCAGGUUCAUCCACAUUGUUGAAAAUGACAGAAUUUCUUUCUUUGUAAACCCUGAAUAGUAGUAUUACAUUGUAUAUGUAUAUAUAUAUUAUAUAUAUAUCACAUUUUCUUUAUCCAUUCAUCUGUCAAUGGACACCUAAGUUGAUUCCACAUCUUGACUGUUAUGAAUAAUGCUGCAAUGAAUAUGAGAAUGUAGAUAUCUUUUCAAGAUACUUAUUUCAUUUCUUUUGGCUAUAUACCCAAAAAUGGGAUUGUUGCAUUAUAUGGUAGUUCUAUUUUUUAUUUUUUUAGAAACCUGCAGACUUAUUUUCUGUAAUAGCUAUUAUAAUUUACAUUCCCACCAACAGUGUAUAAGAGUUCCCUUUCUCCACAUCCUCACCAACACUUUUCUUUUGUCUGUUUGAUAAUAACCAUUCUAACAGAUGUGAGGUGAUAUCUUAUUGUGGUUUUAAAUUUUGUUUCCCUGAUGUCUAGUGAUGUUAAACAUUUUUUCAUAUACCUGUUGGCCAUUUGGAUGUCUUCUUUUGAGAAAUGUCUUUUCAGGUUCAUUUUUAAUUGGGUUGUUUAUUUUCUUGCUAUUGAGUUCUUUGAGUUCCCUAUAUGUUUUGGAUAUUGGAUAUUAACCCUUUAUCAGAUGAUUGGUUCACAAAUGUUUUCUCUCAUUCCAUAGGUUGCAUCUUCAUUCUAUUGAUUUUUUUUUUUUUUUUGCUGUGUCAAAACUUUUUAUCUGAUGCAACACCAUUUGUCUUUUUCUUUUCUUUUUUUUUUUUCUUUCUUUCUUUUUUUUUUUUUUUUUUUUUUUGCCCCUGUUGCUUGUGUUUUGGGGAUCAUAUCCAAAAAUUAUUUCCCCUACCAAUAUCAAGAAGCUUUUUCCCCAUGUUUUUUCAUCUAGUAGUUUUAUAAUUUCAGGUUUUACAUUUAAGGCUUUAAUCUAUCUUGAGUUGAAUUUUGUGUAUUGUACGAGAUAAGGGUCUAAUUUCAUUCUUCCUCAUGUAGAUAUCCAGUUUUCCCUGCACCAUUUGUUAAAGAUGCUGUCCUUUUCCUAUUUUGCAUUUUUGGUACCUUCGUUGUAGAUCAUUUGACCCUAAAGAUGUGGAUUAAUUUCUGGGCUCUCUGUUAUGUUCCCUUGGAUUAUAUGUUUGUUUUCAUGACAGUACCAUGCUGUUUUGAUUACUAUAGCUUUAUAGUGUAUUUUUAAAUCAGGUAGUAUGAUGCUUCAAGCUUUGUUCUUUUUGCUCGAGAUUGGAGUAUUUGAGGUGGUUUCAUACGAAUUUUAGGAUUGCUUUUUCUAUUUCUGUGAAAAAUCUCAUUAGAAUUUUGAUAGGUAUUGCAUUGAAUCUACAAAUUGCUGUGGGUGCUAUGGAAAUUUUAACAGUAUUCAUUUUUCUAAUUCAUGAACACAGGAUAUCUUUCCAUUUAUUUGUGGGACAAUAUUUUUUACACAUUCUUGGUUUCAAGUUCAUUGCUUCUAGAAUUCUGAUGGUCCUUGAAACCGAAUGCUAAGAUUAUUGAGUAAAAGUUAGCUACAGCUGUGACUGAAAUUACAGAAGAGAAACUUGCUCUUAAAUUUUCUGUGCUUCAGUGUCUUCAUCGUUUUUGCUUUCAUCAAGCUGUAAGUUCCUUGAAGUCAGGGACUUGUCACACAGCCUGGUACACAGAAGGCACUCACUGAAUAUCUGAUAAAUGAGAGGAGGGACUACUGAAUGUAAAAUAAUCUCUAUCACAUAUGAUCAUUGUAGGGAAUAAUGAGGCGAUGUAUAUAUGUGGAGAACCCAAAAAUUGUUGCUCAAAAAUUGUUUUUUUAAAAACCUGAUCCAUGCUAAUCAAAUUCACAAAAAGACAGAUUGCCUUUUUAAUUUUUUUAUUUUCUAAAAUAUUUUCAUUGCUUUACCUUAAAAGAACAUGUGCUGACCAUAAUUUAACCUUUUUUAGAUGACCCAAGAUUAUUAUUCACAACACUUCAUUUCAGCAAGUGUGAUGAUCCUUGCAGGCCGUUUUGUGGAUUUAGAGGUCUCUUUAUCACUCUCCUAGACAGUUUCUGAGUGCUGAGCAUUGGGGCUAUUGGGUCAGCUUUUGUUUGUUUGUUUGUUUUUGAGACGCAGUUUCACUCUUGUUGCCCAGGCUGGAGUGCAAUGGUGCGAUCUCGGCUCACUGCAACCUCCGCCUCCUGGGUUCAAGUGAUUCUCCUGCCUCAGCCUCCCGAGUAGGUGGGAUUACAGGCAUGCGCACCACACACAGCUAAUUUUGUAUCUUUAGUAGAGGCAGGGUAUCUCCAUGUUGGUCAGGCUGGUCUCAAAUUCCUGACCUCAGGUGAUCCACCCACCUCGGAAAGUGCUGGGAUUACAGGUGUGAGCUACUACACCCAGCUGGGUCAGCUGUUUAUAACUUUUCUGAUUUCUUGGCUGUGAAGACUGGCAGACUUCUGUGAGGGUGCCUUGCUGAAACUUCCUCCCUGAUGUGAAUGCUCCUAAUCUUCUGUGACCUUGAAACUAAAAUACUUUGCCAUAUGAAUAUGCAUAUAAAAUAGGAGUACACUAGGAAGCUCUUUCACAUGUAAAGUCCAUGCAAUUCAUAAACUGGCUGCUCUUGAAUCCUUUUUAUCCUUUCACUUAUUUCUUGAAUCUGAAUUGUAACAUUUUAGAUAUGUGCAAAGUUGCUAUAAACUUAUAAAGCAGACAUUUCCUUUAUCUCUUUUCUUAAUAGUGCUUCUAGGAACAGAUGCAGAUUUCAUGACAUCUUAGUCUAUGUUAUCUAAUGGCAAAGUGAGAAUUAGUUGUGUCCAAAAUAUCAAUCAGAAUAUUUCCAUCUAAUUAUAGUUCACAGCUUCCUUAUGAAUCAUUUUAUAUUUACAUAAGAUUUGCUUUAAUUUUGUUGAACAGUAAUGGAGAUCUUUAAAUGGGUUUUUGUUAGUUUUUCAAAUUCACCAGUUUCUCACAUGUGUGUAUAAUUCUUCAUAAAGACUUCUAUAGCACCUCAUUUUGAUAUUUUUCCUUGUCAAAAUGAUAUUUCCUGAAAAUGUUUGUCAUCAAAAAUCAGAAUUUAUAAAAUAUCUGAUCAAGUAUAUGUCUGUAUCUGAUUAUCAAUUAAGCUGAAAAUGAAUCGAGUGCUGGAGAAAAGUCCCAUCCAGUUGGUCCAUUAUACAGAGCGGAAAGCACUAACAUGUUACAUCAGCAAAGGUUUUUGGGGCUCCAGUGUAGAUUGGAGCAGUGAAGUUAGAUGAGAUUUGUAGCACCUCCUGAUGACCAUGCUAAUCACUCCUCUACCACAGUUACCUCUCCCAUUAUUAGUAACUUGUUAGCUCAUCACAUUUCUUCAGCACCACUUUAUCCUCUUUAACCAUCUGUCCUAUUUAUAUACUCAGAUAUACCUGGCACCUACCAAAUGAGAGUAAGCACCAUAGUAACCAAAGAGUGAAAUUAUUGUAUAUGUACUUUGUGCUGUCAGCAACAUGUAUCCUGAGAUCUUUGUUGAAGAGUCAGUUAAUGAAAUUUGAGAGUCCUUGGAUUAUCUGACAUGUAAAGUUGUGAGCCAGAUGUGGUGGCAUGCACCUGUAGUCCCAGCACUUUGGGAGGCCCAGCGGGGAGGAUCCCUUGAGCCCAGGAGUUCAAAACCAGCCGAGGCAACAAAGUGAGACACUGUCUCUAAAAAUAAUACAAAAAAAAGAAACACUGGUCUUCUCCGACCUUCAGUGCUCCUGGUUUUCAGGUCUUCAGAUCCAGACUGGAAUCUCUACCAUCAGCUUUCUAUUUCUCAGGCCCAUAACUACAUCGCCAGUUUUCCUGGAUCUGUAGCUUGCAAAUUGCAGAUUGUGGAACUUCUCAGCCUCCAUAAUUGCCUGGAGCUUCCCAGGCAAAGACUUUGAAACUCUGAGAAGGGUAUUCAGGAGGAUUUUUAAGUUGUGCACAGUGACCAAUAUGUAUAAAAGGUGAAGGCUAGGUCCAGGGGCUCACGCCUGUAAUCUCAGCACUUUGGGAGGCCGAGGCGGGCAGAUCACCAGGUCAAGAGAUCGAGACCAUCUGGCCAACAUGGUGAAAUCUCGUCUCUAUUAAAAAUACAAAAAUUAGCCGGGCGUGGUGGCAUGUCCCUGUAAUCCCAGCUACUCAGGAGGCUGAGACAGGAGAAUUGCUUGAACCCAGGAGGCAGAGGUUACAGUGAGCUGAGAUUGUGCCAUUGCACUCCAGCCUAGGCGACAAGAGCAAAACUCCAUCUCCAAACAGAAAAAAAGAAAGAAAGGUGAAGCAAGCAGGAUUAAAGUGUGAGAAAUUAAACUGCAGUGUUGUGGCCACAAAACUUCAGCAUAUUUUGUAGGUGCACUGGAGUUGAGAGGGCCCUUCAAAGUCAGAUGAGGCUCAUUUGUGUUGUCAAAAAUGGAAAUGGAUAGCCACAUGCAGAAGAAUGAAAUUUGACCUUUAUCUCACACCAUCUACGAAAAUCAACUCGAAAUGAAUUAAAGACUAAAACUUAAGGCUGAAAUCAUAAAAUUGCUAGUAGAAAACAAAAAAAAAUGCUUCUUGACAUGAGUCUGGGUAGGGAUUUUUUGGAUAUGAUAUCAAAGCACAGGCAACUAAAGCAAGAAUAGAUGAAUGAAAUUACAUCAAACUUAAAAGUUUCCGCAUAGCAAAAAAAAAAAAAAAAAUCAACAGAGUGAAAAGGCAGCCUAUGAAAUGGAAGAGUGUAUUUGCAAACCAUGUAUCAGGUAAGGGGUUAAUGUAUAAGACUGUCCUACAACUCAAUAACAAAAAACAAAUAAGCUCAUUAAAAAAUUGUCAAAGGCCCUGAAUAGACAUCUCUCAGAAGAAGAUAAAUAGCCAAGAGGUAUAUAAAAAGGUGUUGAACUUCACUAAUCAUCAAGGAAAUAUAAAUCAAAACCACAGUGAAACAUCACUCACAGCUGUUAGAAUGACUGUUAUCAAAAAGAUCAAAGAUAAGUGUUGGCAAAGUGUGAGGAAGAGAGAACCCUUAUACAUUGUUCAAGGGAAUGUAAAUUGAUACAGCAGUAUGGAGGUUCCUCAGAAAAUAAAAAUAGGUCUACCUUAUUAUCCAUCAAUUCCAUUUCUGGGCAUAUAUCCAAAAGAAAAUCAGUGUCAAAGCAAAAAGUAGCCUGGUAUGGUGGCACAUGUCUAGUUUCAGCUACUCGGGAGGCUGAGGCAGGAGGAUCUCUUCAGCCCAGGAGACUGAGGCUGCAGUAAGCUAUGAUCAUGCCACUGCACUCCAGCCUGGGUGAAACAGCCAAGGGGUAAAAGACAUAAAAAUAUGAAUUGACAGGAGAGUAACCUCUCAAACCUUACCCUUACCGAAAGGAAUAGCAGGUGAUUGAAAAUUAAUAAUAAGUGAUGACAUUUAAAAAAUAAUCUUAAAGUUCUUUAAAAAUUUAUUUUUAGUGAUUUAAUUUCUAAAAAGAUUUUUAAAGUAAUUUUUUAAAAGAGAAAAGUAAAUACGUAAAAUUGUUCUAUUUUAAUGUAUUUAAAGACAGUAGUAGAUACUUUUUUCCUCUAAAAUUAUUUCUAGAUAUCUUGACUAUUGCUGUUGACUGUCUUUCCAUUCCUUUUCUAUGUAAAACUCUUCUCUUUUUAAACAGUAUGAAUGUAUGCUGAUGUAUGUUUGUGUAAGACUGCGAUUCACAUUCUACAGAACUAUCAUCUUUCAAACUAUUACAGCAAAAUUAAGGAGUAAGAUAAUUUUUCAUCAUAUUGUCAUCCAACUUCAUGACUUAUUUUCAUUUUUUUAAUGUACUUGGCAUGUAUGGAAGAGAAUUCCAGAAAGCUACAGUGACUCUUUUUUUCACUUAAAGGAAGUGGCUAGAAUGAGAUUGAGGGCAGGGGGGAAUGUGGCACAAGGAAACUGGCUUAAAAGCUCUGUGUGUAUUAUGUGCAAUUUUAUUUUCUGAGUAAUAUCACUGAUUCAGUAAUUACCCUGGGUAGUAGCCAUACAAGCUUUCUUGUUCCCUGGAAAGCCUUACUAUAAUCCAGAACUUUGCUAGCAUAUCAUAUACCUUGUAAUUUUAUUUUCUAAAAUUAAGUGGCAUUUAAUGUCUUCAUUUCCCCAUGUAACCUUUUAAAAGCCUUGUAUCUUCAUUUAUUUUAUUGCUCCCACACCCUCUUUCUGUUUCACAUAAUUCUUUGCAAUUUACUUCACUAUUCUGCAAAUAAAUCAUUUGCAGAUUUUCUAAAAGCUGUAUUCUCGCAUUUAGGACUUGGUGCCAUGGUUUCUUAGUAGAAGACAACUUUACAACCAGAAGUUGCAAGUUCCCCAAGUUCAAAAUCUGUACAUGUUUGCACUAGAAAGCCAAAAUAUUCCCUCUGUAGUCACUGAACUUCCAAAAGAAAAUACAUGCUGUCAGCCUAGACAGAAUUGAUUCAUUUAGGCUCUAAUCGUUUUGAAGGCCUCAGGUAGGGCUUGCGAGACUUAGCAUUGCUUUGGCCAUUCUGUUUUGAGGACUGCAAUUGGGUUAUAUCUUUUGCCAUAAGCUAAAAGGAAUAGCAGCAGAUUGAAAAUGAAUAAUAAUUGAUAACAUUUUUAAAAUAGUCUUAAAGUUCUUAAAAAGUGUUUAUUUUUAGUGAUUUCAUUUAAAAAUUGCAAAGCGAGUAUACAUGUUACUAUUAACUUACUAAGAACUAUUUUUUAGAAAGUAAUGAAUAAUUAGCUUUUUUUUUUUUUUUUUUUUUUUUUGAGACAGAGUCUUGCUCUGUUGCCAGGUUUGGAGUACAGUGGCACGAUCUCAGCUCACUGCAACCUCUGCCUCCCAGGUUCAAGUGAUUCUCCUGCCUUAGUCUCCCAAGUAGCUGGGACUACAGGCAUGCGCCAUCAUGCCCAGCUAAUUUUUGUAUUUUUAGUAGGGACAGGGUUUCACCAUGUUGGCCAGAUGGUCCUGAUCUCUUGACCUUGUGAUCUGCCCGCCUUGGCCUCGCAAAGUGCUAGGAUUACAGGCGUGAGCCACCACGCCUAGCCUAAUUUUGCAUUUUCUUAGUGCCAGUGUGCUGUACUUUUCAAGGCCGGUCAAUUGCCUAAGACCUCAAAUCCUGACGCAAAAUUCCCCAGCUUACUGCUCUCACAUAGAACACACUUGUGCCAGUGUCACUGCUUUUCCAGGCAUGCAAGCAAAACCAUUGGAAGUAGCUGAAUUUCUAGUGACACCCUAUAGAGCUCUCCUUAUAUAUAAUAAGUUCAUUCUUCUUUGGAGUUGUUAAAAAGUGAGGCUCAGGUUUUUGUGCCCUCAACUUUAUCCCCCUUGGUUUAUUGCUGCCUUCCAAGUUCAGCAUCUCAGCAUUUUUAUUUCAAGAAAUAAGCUUAUGAUGCACAGCAUUAAGCAAGACACUUUGGGAGAGGAGGAACCCUUCCCGGAAUUUCAGAAGUCUCCUUGUAGAGAAAAUUCCUGUAAUGUUUUGUUUUACUUCAAAAAUCUGAGUGCCAGAAAGAACAGAGUCAAGAAAGGAGCUAUCGUGAGCUCUUGAAUUUGAAGCAAAGUCUGUACUGUGACCCCAUUUUAGAAGAUCACUGGCCCUCCAUAGAGCACUACUUUGAACAAAUCAGUGAAUUUUAAAUCAAGUGUCUUGGUUGCUUAUAUUUUUAAAAUCUCAAAAGAUCUAAAUUCAGAUGCCAGUGAAAGCUUUGUAAAGGGAACCUCCCCUUCCUCAGCCUACCCUUAACUUGCAUUCUAGGAACUUCUAGGUGCUUUAGAUAUCCCCUAAAUGAUUAAAGAAUAGAUUAUAAUUCAAUAGAACAGUGAUUUGCUGGUUAAAGGAAGAAUAGCUGAUACUUUAUGAAACUGUUCUUAGAAUAGCUUGGAUGCUAGAUCCCAUUGUGUGUGUGUGUGUGUGUGUGUGUGUGUGUGUGUGUGUGUGUGUGAGAGAGAGAGAGAGAGAGAGAGAGAGAGAGAGAUAUGAGGGGGGCACCAAGACAGACAUAGUUAUACCCAUUUCCUUUUUCCAUAAAGCAUUUGCAGUAGCUUGUAACCAACACACAUUAUAAAAUUUACAUAGGGAUUUUUAAAAUUUUAAAUAAAAAUAGAGGGAAGCCCUUGGAAAAGAAAUGAUAUUAGAAUAAUGUUGAGUCUCUUGGGAAUCCUGCAAGUUUUUUGCUUCAGAUGCAAUUGCAGUAGCAUUGAGAGAGAUGUCAAACGUCAAACACAGUUCUGUCCUGAAGAAAAGGAGCAGACCUUCCAUUGGUCCUCCACUCCACCACCACCCUAAGUUGAGCCAGUGCCAUGUCCAAUAUCAGCCCUUGGGCUUCACCUGGCCUGUGCAUUCAUUCUAGUUCCACUGUCUCUGCCUUCAUGCUUGUUACGGCACAACUCUGCUACAGUAUUCAUUCCAUUUCUUUGGAAAGGCCUGCAGUUCAACAAUUGCACAUCCCAUUACAGAAACAGCAUUGAGCAUGAUUUUGGAAAAAUCACACAUAUAUCUUAUAUUGGACCUGAGUAUUCAAAGACAGUUUCAGACACCCUUGGUUUAUUAUUCUUUUGGCUUCACAAGUACAUUCAUGGAAUGGACAUAGAUGAGGGAUACCCAGAAACUGGCCAAGCACAGGGGAAAAGAAAGAGGGAGAUUCCAUUCUGCCUGACUCAGCUGGGAUAGGUAGAAAACCUAAGGUUCUUUUUCUUCAGCAGUCAUCAUAUGUUUCCAUCAUUUGUUCCCAUGGUUAUUUUCUGCUGCCCAGUUGUUAUUUGUACUUAUUUAAAAACAUCAGUGCAUGGGCCUCAAGAGGCAAAGAGAGUUGAGGUCCUACACUAGAGUCAGAAUAUUCAAAGUUUUGGACUGAGGUUUCACCUCUGAGCCAUGCUUUUUUAUUACACUACAUUUGGCUGAAGAUCUGACACUAGAUGCACCAUAACCAUUGCAAAGGCCAUGCAAUCUCUUGCUUUUUAGAUUUCUACUGACAUUUUUGCCUGCUGUUAGAGUAGCCACACCUCUCCAUGAGUUUCAGGUGUUUUAACCAUUUAGGAAAAAGAGGGGAGGGAGAAAGAAAUGAAUCAGUAGUAAAGAGAUGGUGCCUGAGAAUGGAAAGAUCACAGCUGAAAGUGGAGUAUGUGCUACCUUCUGGCCCAGACCAGGUGGCUGGGUGUAGAUGGACGUUGUGUGUAUCCCCAAUGCAGUAACCCUUACAGAGAUAAUUCUCCCAGUUUAGCCACCACGAAGUAUUGUUCUUUGUUUUUCCAUAGUGCUUGUCAAAAUGCUAUGACAACUGACUGGUUUUAUGCAAACAGAGCCUGGCUCUCAAGAGACAGUGUGUCUGAAAGUCAAACAUGGAUGGCAGCCAUUGGCACACAAAGGAGUCAGAAACCACAGAUUGUUUUCUCGUUGGAUGAACAGCUUAAAGCAACGUAAAGUUAAUUGAAGAAUUCCUUGAAAGUGAAGUCAGACUAAAAAGAAAUGCUCCGAGUCUAUAAUUUACUAAAUGUGAAAGAACUGUAAGUGGUAUGAGACUAAAACAGUUUCUUGGGGGGAGAGAACAUUUUUGUAAACAGAUCUGGCUUUUAUUUUUGCUUGGGCUGUUUUAAUUAUUUGCUCUAAUAAUGUAGAUCUCCAGAAGAAUCUCUAAUUAGGUAAGGCUUGAUUUAUGGAGUUGGCCUCAUAUAAACCAUGAUGUAUGUCAUGGUAUGCUGCAGAAAAUUACAGGCCUGGUCUCGCCAUUGCAAACUAGUAUUUCUACCUAGAACUACUCCUGCUCUGCAUGUCUUACUCUCAGGAAAGCAAAGCAUACUAUGUUCUCCUUCACAGUGCUCAUUGCCCAGGUAAACUCAACAUAUAGUAUUACUCAUCAAAUAAUUUUAGCAAACAUUUUUAAAACUGGGGAGAGAGGAGUAGAAGAAAAAUGCUAGCAGUUAAAGAAAUCUUUACUUCCUGGGAACUUAGUAAAUACCAACCUAUGAUUCUCAGUAGAAGUGGGUUCACUCCCCCUUCAGCUGACAGACUGGCAAGGAUAUGCCAGACUAUCAAGAGUAGUGUCUGUGUGUCCCUUCCUCCCACAACUCUAACUACAUCUUCCACACUCCGUCUUCAGCUCCUUCCUGGAAAGGUCUUUCAGUGUCAUGGUCGCCUAUUUCAUCUGGUUGUAAAUAACAGCCAUGGGGCCUCUGUAAUAUUUCACCAUGGUUCUUACUCCCUUUCCCAUUGCAGUAGAAGCCUUGGUGUAGAGCCAAGGCCUUUUCUUUGAUUAUAGGUUUGCCGAUUACAAUUUCCUAACAUUUUUCUCAUGUUAAUUAUACCUUAGUGAUUGCAUUUUCUAUGAUUUCUCAUUUCAAUUUUGUUAAAUUUUGGCCCCUAUAGAGCAGACUGUAGAAGGAAUCCUUCUAGAUUUUUACAAAUUGUUUUCCUGUCUUCCACAAUUGUCUGAUUUACAUCUGCCCUGAGAGUCAGUUUAAGUCACCUGCCUUUAUCAGGUCUCCUUAGACUAUUCAAUGUACCUUUCAUAGGAAGCAACUGUUUUCUUUCAUGGUUAUAUUUCACCAGUUUACAUCAUAUUAAAUUAUGUAAUUAUAGUAACAAAUCCAACAGGCAUAGGCAGGUUUGAGAACAAAUACACCUCUAAACAGUUGGAAGAAAUGCAUGGGAUAUACUAGUGAGUGACCUUCUAGCCUCUCUUAUUCAGCAUGUGUGGGCUCAGUCCUGGUUGAAACACAGGGAUAGAAUUGGUUAAGUGGAGCUCAGUUACGGAGGCUUCUGAAUCUGUGCUCUCCACACUGUCUUCAUUUUAUGGAGGGGGUCCAGGGUGGUUACAAGGCUUGCCCAAGGUCAGAAACAUUCGUAGCCAAGCAGGCUAUCCUGACUUUCAAGCUAUCAGGGCACCAGAGCAGGACUGAUAUCCUGGGCUUUUAAUGUGCUUGUCUGACUGCUGCCAAAGGUAAAAAAUGCAAGUUUAUCGAGCUUGAUUUAUUACCACAAAAUAUCUGUCUUGAUGCUUACUUUACCCAUAGUUUUUGUGUUACUAAUUAACACGCAUUUUUCUUUGAAUUCUUCCUGAUAAUAAAACAGACUCUUUGUUAUUGUAGGGAGUUAAUCGAGGCCGUAAGAUUUCCCAAUUCUGUCAAUGACCAUACUUAGCUAAAAGAGAGAAAGGCUGAGUGGAAGAAUUUUCCUAUGCCUAUAGUAGGGCUCGUCCUUCUUGCCACUACACAGCCCCAUACUGUUUGUGGCUAUUUUUGUUGGUCUAAAGGGCACAGGCCUCUGAAACAAAACUGCUUUUGGGUUUGAGCCAGAUGAUUAGGUUUGUAUUUAUUUGAUCACAUUCACAAACCGUAUUUGCUAACUUUCCUAAUACCAACUUGGGAAGAUUUUUUUUAAAUCACUUUCCUUCUUCUCUUCCUUCCUUCCAGUGUUGUCUUCCUUCCCCACCCACUUUCAGAAAGGAUUUGAUGUUGCCUAGGGUUAAAAUAGAUAAAUAAAAUCAAAACCAUUAGGAUGAAUACGAAGGAACGGGGAAAGAUGUUAUACUCGAAUCCCUGAGGUAAGAUGGCUUUGCUGUUAUAUUGAGCAGUGCAUUUAGCUCUGAGCUUCCUGGUAGACAAAGUGAAACAAGUCUUUGGGUUCAUGUUAUUUCUGUUUGCUGAGGAGAAACAUACCAGGUCGUCCACAGAGACAUUGUUACCAGGCACUUUAUUCUAAGCCAGUGAUUUUCAUGUAAGUGAAGCUAAAUAAUCAUCUAGAAUAGGGGAUUCACAUAUACAUUAGAGUUUGAGAAGCUCUGCUGUAGUCGACCUCCAUUUUUUGUUGGUAAGCCCAGGGAAGAUAAAUAAUUUGCCGGUUACCAGGCUUGGUGGUGAUAACACAGGCUUAGAGCCAGUUUGCCUUGGUACCAGCCUGGGCCUCGGAGCUCCCUUGUUUGGAAAGCACAGGUGUAGUGAGAUGUGGUAUUAGAGCUGGUAUGGUCAAGUACCUUACCUCGCUCCCAGGCAAUAUGGACACAGACUAUGACCUGAGUCUUGGGAUUUAGACUUAAUGAAAUCAGAAUAUGUGAAAGAGGAGUUUUUUUCAAGAAGCUUUUCUUUUUACCACGAGGCUGGACGAGGCUGGACCUCUGUAUCAGGAUGCUGUCAAAUUGCCAUAGAGGAGAAAUCUGGAAGAGUAGGCUGUAGCAGGUAUCCUUUUUAUGGCCUGUUUUAAAAUACUUUGUCAAAAAUGCCCUUCGUUUAGUCAAAAUUGUGGGCAAAUUUAUGUUAUAUUUUUGCUGCCAUGAGUAUAUGGUAGAACUUUGGGCAGGGAUCCUAAACUCAAGCUGUCUGCAGGAAACAGACAGGCACGGACAGCUAUUUAUUAUUCAGAAGGCCAGACAUAAAACAAGGAGCAAGGUCGAUAGUGAACCAAAGGGCCAGUGUCUUGUCUCGAUGGGGCAACUGCUUCUCAGCUCCUGUUCAUUUUUUAUCAUGUGAAAAAUGCAGUUAUGUAGUUGACCAGAUCUUCCAGUAUUUUGAGAGGAGCUGGAAGUCUGGAUUAUUAAAUUAAAUCUCCUGAUUUUAAAUGUUGGCAACUCUUUUCUUCUACUUGUUCAAAGCAGAAAACUUGGAGUUGUCCUUCACUCCUGUCUUCCUUUCAAAACCCACAUCUAAUUCAUCAGGAAAUCCUGUUGGCUCUAUCCUCAAAAUAUAUUCAGAAUCUGAUCACUUCUUACGGAUUUCUGUUGCACUACUGUGGUCCAAACCACCACCGUCUCUCUCCAAGAUUGUUGCAGUAGCCUCCUAACUGGUCUCACUGCUUCCAUUCUUUCUCUCCUGCAGCCAGAACUGUAAGUCAGAUCACAUCGCCCCACUGCCCACAAUCCUCCAAAGUCUCCGCAUCUUACUCAGCAUGAAAGCCAAGAUCCUCCCAAUAACCCAUAAGACUCUCCGACCUCAUCUCUGCAGCUACAUUGGCCUCCUGUCUGUUCCUCACAUAUGCCAGCUCAUUUCCUCCUUGUGACCUUUGUCCUUGCUGUUCCCUAUUUUUCCAGGUAUCUCUACGGCCCAUUCAUCCCCUGCAUCCCUUUGCUUAAAUGUCAUCUUCUCAGUGAAACCUGCCUUGGACACGCUAUCUAAACUUACACACAUGAAUACACACAUCCUUCCUCUCCACCUUCUCUGCUUUUUGUUUCUCCUUAUCACAUAUGGUCUAGUACACUCCAUCAAUUUUUUAUUACCUGUUUUCUGCACUAGAAUGUAGAUUCCACGUGGAUAGGGACUUUAUAUGAUUUUGUGUAUUUGUUCACUGCUGUUUACAUCUGGAAAUGAGCCUCACACAUGGUAGGUGUUCAAUAAAUGUUUGAUGAAUGAAUGAAUCUUAAAAACAAUUUUUUUAACUUUGGGCCAAAUAAAACUCUUCAAUAGGCCAAACCUGGGCUGUACUUCUUUUGGCCUAGAGUCAAAAAGAAGAAUGAGUGCUUCUCCAGCAGCUCCUUGUAGCUUGGGAACAGACUUUAUGAAUGCAUCAUGAUGCCUGCCCUGCUCAGGAAACCACAGAUGAGUUCUUCCCUUCCAUUCCCACAUGUACCCUCCUACUUCCACCCUGCUCAACUUCGAUACAUGCUUAUUGUUUUGUGCCUCAACAUUGUUUUUCCCAAGGUAUUGCUGUUUAGAAUAUGGAAAAUGUUGUGUGAAUUAUUUCAGCCUCCUGAGUGAACUUUCAAAUCUCUGAAGGUAGCACACAUUUGAACAGUUUGACUUGCUUUCUGCAACACAGAGUUUAGAACUGGGCAAGCAAUAAGUCAGAGGAAGAUUAUCUCAGAGGGAAAAGCAUGUGUAAAGACAGGUGUAAAAAUACCCAUGAUGCUUAGGAAGAGAACAAGUGAAACUAGAGUUGGGAGUGAGAGGGAAAGUGGUCAGAAAAGAUGUUGGAGAGUAGACAGGGCCAAAUCUUGCAGACCAUGGUAAGGAGUUUGAAUGCUGUUGUUAGGUCCAAUGGGAAGCUGUUAAAGAAUUUCUAAGUACUGAAAUGAUGGGGUUGGAUUUAUAUUGAUUAAAUUUUACUCUGGCUAUUCUGGGAAUUUAGGAGACGAAUAAUAAUAAUGACAAAGCAAAUGCAACUAACAUUUAUUAAACACUAAUGCCAGGCAGCAUGCUAAUUGCUUUAUACAGAUUAUUUUAGUUAAUUCUUACAUCAUUCCAUUGAGUUAAAUGAUAUCAUUAUCCCAGUUUUGCAGAUGAGGAAACUCAGACACACUGAAGCUAAGUAAUUUGCCUGAAGUCACACAGCUAACCUAUCAAACCCAGGCUGUCAUUUUUCAGCCUUUGUUCUUACUUAGCCCUUAACCUUUACUACUUUUGACUCUUCUUCCAGUACUGGAUUCAAGAUAAGCAUUUAGGAGGUUAUUGCUAUAUUCCAGGCAACAGCUGGUGGUUGUUUGGCCUUUCUGCUAAGGUGGUUUUUCUGUUGUUCCUUGUAAGUUUAAUAUUCAUUCUUACAGAUGGAGUAUGAUUUAAUUCACGUUGGAGAAUAGGCCUUAGCAAAGACUGAGGUAAUAUAUUUUAUUACUAAUUACAAAAUUUUUCAUUAUUUUUUAAAAAUAAUAUGUAUUUACCUAGUAGGCACUUAAUAAAUACAUGUAAAUUAUAAAUAUAAGGCUAAAAGAGACAAUAAUGGAAUAGCAUUUUUUUCCAUUGAUGGAAGUAUUUAUGAUAAUUUAUCCAGUUAGAAAAUAAUCUCUAGUUCCUUGUCAAUGAUAAUAGCACAUUUCCAAGAGUCAGUUCUUGUUUUCUUAAGAAGAGUUGACUCUGAUAAGCUAUCACACCAACUGUACUAGACUCCAAACUCAUUACUGUGAACUAUUCAAUGGUGAUGUGUUUCAAUACACCUUUUUACUGAGGUGUGUAACACACACAAAGACACACACACACAUAUAAACAUAAACAUAUACAUAUAUAUCCUGUUGAUGUUUUACAAGCUCGUCAGUCCGUUACUUGAGCAGUUACUUGAGCACCUAAACUCAAUUCAAUUAUUUUUCUUUAAAAAAAAUUUUUUUGAGCCUGGAAUGGUGGUGCAUGCCUAUUGUCCCAAGCUACCCUGGGAGCUGAGGCAGAAGGAUUGCUUGAGCUCAGGAGUUCCAAGCCAGCCUGGGCAACAUAGCAAGACCUCGUCUUUAAAAAAUAAGUAAAUAAAAACUUUAAAAAUUUUUCAGAUUUAUUUGUCUAAAAAGAAUUAUUUUUUAUUUUCACAUGUAUAAAUAAAAUAUUAAAAUUAAUUUUAAAAUAUAUUACAAAAAUAAAUUUACUUAUUUGUACAGAAAAGCUUUGUUUUAGUCACAUAACACUAUUGAUUUUGAUUAUGAUAAUUGUUCAAUAAAGUCAAGUCCCCUAGGCACAGUCUUCUUAAUUGUAUCCACUUUAGUUACAUAAAUAAAAAGCUAAAUAGUCAUUCAUUUUACUGUUGCAUUUGCAACCUUUGCCAAGUUACUAUCACAUUAAAUAGUGGUUUUGUUUCUAAAAAUAUAGCCUAUAUAUACAUAGACCAUACCAGUGUGCAUUAAUUGGAGUUUAUUAAAGACAUAGCUUUUCUUUGAGCUUAAGGUUUAUUCCAGCCUAAAUAGUCUAAUCACUAAAAUAAAAAAGCAAAUACUGAGCAGUUUACUGACAUUCCAUAGAAGAUAGAAUAAGACUUAAGUGUGUGAGAACAGUACAACAUUUCUGAUGGUUUCUUUUUUAAAAUAAAAACCAGCAACUUCAAAAUUCUGCUAGACAAACUGCUACUAAGAGGGCUUUUGUAGCUGAGCCUGUCACUACGCUAUAUAGUGACCAAAAGGGCAGAUUCUGAGUCAUGAUAACAUUCUAGGAGAUGUCAACAGUCAAAAUAAAAUCAAACUAUAUGUCAUCUGGAAAGCUGAGAUAAAGACCAAGAGAUCUUGGAACGUUUAGAAGCAGCCCAGGUGUGACAUGAGUGAGGACUCUAAGAAGAAAAACUUCACAGCUGUUUGUAACUUUCUCACAACUGCUUCACAUUUCUCUAGCAUGGAAUGGAAAGUAUAGAAAUGAAGAAAAUCAGAACUGGAAAGGACCUUAAAACCCUUGUUUUACAGAUAAGGAAACGGAGACCCAACGAGCACCAAACACUUGCCUAAAGUCACACAACUAGAGUUAACCAUAGGACUGAAAUUGGAAUUUGGAACUCCUAUUUUCUAGUUUAAUAUUAUUUUCUCUACUCUUUUUGGGCAUUUUGACUGUAUAGUAUUGGAGUUGUACCAAAAGGAAAAGAGCUGGCUUGGAUGAGAAAGGGAUCUAUGCCACCAGAAGUCAGUGAUCAGGCCAAAACUAGACAGUGGCUCCCUGGCAUGCGUGUUGGUUUUCCAUGAAAGAAACUUGGACUCAUUGUCCUCUAAGAGCUUUUCCAACUCUAAUUGUAAUGAGUAUUGAUAAUUUUCAUCAUAUUUGUAAUAGGGUAAUGAUUCGUCCUCCCUACUUAAGGCAUUAUUGCUCAUUCUCAUUCAUGCAUGUCUCAUCUACUCUAGUCUUUUCUCAGAACCUGUUUUCCCGUUGAGAGCACCUGUUCCAAAGUUGCUUAGUAAUGCAGUGUGACUAAAAAAGCAGGCUAAGACUCCAAGUUCAGUUCACCAUUUGGAAUCAUGAGUAAUCAUUGUCCCCACAACUAAUUUAACCUUCUACAUUAAACCAGUAUCCAAUAACUGCUGCUUUUCCUCUACCAUAUAAACACAAAUCAGCUAUAUAGUUAGCAAAAGGGAGAUUGGUGCAGUGAAAUCAAUCCGUUUUCCCUCCCUGUAGCAAGGAUGUGGUAUGGCAAAAGCUUUGGUCAAUUUAUAACCUAAUAAGGUAUAAGUGGUUUUUAAAGUGCACUGUGGUAAAAUUUUCUUUACUGUGCAACUAUAUAGAUAUUCUUGGCUUAAGAAUGAAAAAUAUAUAGAUUUGCAUUAUAAUAUAAAAUCUAUGAGAUAUGAAGUCUGAUGAGAAAUAUAUUUACCACCUGAUAAUAUCUGUGUGAAUAUAAACAUCUCUGUUACUCUCUUCCUAACAUAAAAUGAUCUUUGCCCAUUCUGCCUUUAUUCCUUUGUCCAGCUGUCAGAUUCUAUUUUUUUCUGCUAUAAUUUAGAACAUAUUUUCCUAGACAUCAGCAUUUUUAGACUAUGUACUUAAAUGUCAUAUUUAUAAUAGGGAAUUUCCAGAAAACAAGUGAUUCAGUCUCAUAUGCCCAAAGUACCCCAUUCUCUAGUGGAAAUCAGGAUGAGCUAUUCAUUGUAUUAGUUAUGUGGUCACAAUGGAGGCCUAUCUCCAUAGGUUUAAAACAGUAGGUUUUAAACUUUCAUCUAGCAGUCCAAUAGAAAUGUUUCCAAAGUUCCUGUUACCCUCGUUUCCACUCAUCCUGGAUUGAUUUGGGAAGUGGAGUGAGGAAGGAGUUGGUGGUAGGGUUCACAUUAUCAUCAUGGUGAUCUAGUAAGUGAGUGAAGGAUUCCUUUUUUCAAAUAUAAAGGAAAUUCAGAGCGCAACAAGGAAGAAGCCACGUUACAGAACUAGAAAAGUAAUUGUCCAAACUGAGCAUAAAAACCCAACACCCAAACAAGACCUGAGACCCGCAUCCCUUGGCUCCUCCUGUGUUCUUUUUUUUUAACUAACGCAUUCUCUCCCCUCAAGGAAAAGUCAAGCUAAGCCAAUUUUCCUUCUAAGGCUGAGGAUCUACGACAAGAAGGCAAAGACAGGGAGGGAGGACCUUGUAUUUUACGUUUAUUUGCCUCACUUUCUCCAAAGGGAAACACCCCACUAGGGCAGUGUCAACAGACUUUUUUGUAAAAGCAAAAAUAGGAAAUAUUUUAGGCCUUGCUGGCCAUAUGGUCUGUGUAGUAACUACUAAACUAGGUCAAAAUCAGCCAAAGACAAUACAUAAAUUAAUGAGCAUGGCUGUGUUUCCAUAAAACUAUAUUUUGGACAGUUAAAUUUGAAUUUUAUGUAUUUUUCAUGCAUCAUGAAAAAUCCUAAUUUUUAAUUUUUUCAGCUGUUUAAAAAUGUAAAAAUUAUGCUUUCAGAUUAUAUAAAGACAGGCUACAGACCAGAUCUAGCCCAUUAGCCAUAGUUUGCUAAACCCUGCCCUAUGGGAAUAAAUAAUGAAACAUGAGGAAGAUUGUAGGUGUUAAAACAUGGAGUAAAAUAUGAUACUUGAAAGACAAUUAUUUAAAUGUGGUAGAGGAAAUUAUUGAUAUGUAUGCCUCUUUCAGAGAGAGCAGAUGGAUGCGUUGGCCCUUGAUUCUGUUUUAGGUAAUCUUAGUUGGUACUAGGUCAAAUUCCAGAUUGGUUAUUUUGAUUUACUCUCUUAAGAUUUAUGAAAUGCAGGUUAUAGCUGGCUUUAGAGAAGAAAAGUGGAAAUAAGAAGAGGACAUGUGACUUAGAGCUUGCCAUAAGGUAUGCAGAGCCAACAGAACAUUUUAUUCGGAAUGGCAGCUGGUGGUUUCUGUUAUCUGUGAAUCAUUGUGAAGUCUGUCUGAGGCAGAGAGGAGACAGCUAGCCGAAUUCCCCUUUCGCAAAAACUGAUUCAUAACAUUGUAAAGCUCACAGAAAAUGCAUUUUGUAUCACAAGAACACAUAAAAAUCUCUAUUUUUUGACAUAAAGGCUAUAUUGACGAACUUUAAAAUAAAAAGAACCUGUAAAUGUAAAACCAUAAAGAAACAUUUUUUAAAAUAGUAUGAAUAAUUUAUGGGCAGUUGAAUACAGCUUUUGUUGCUUUGUAGGUAACUCACUUAUAACAAUUGCAUAAAUGGUAAUGCAGUUGUGUGUAACAAAGGACCAUUAAUUAUGACACUUAUGACAAUGAUAACAUAAUUAACUAUUUUUUGAGCUGCUACUAUUUGCUGCCACCUAACAUACAUUAUUACAUUUAUUCCCUGCAACAAGCCUGCAAGGUAGGUAUUAUUCUCCUGUUGAAAAUGAUGCUGAAGUUCAGUCACACAAACACCAAGUACCAGGGCCAAACUGCAAUCCAUAUCCCCCUCACAUGAAAGUUAGUGUGGUUUCCACUCUACUGUUACCAUUGAUGAGACAUGGUAACCAAAAAAAAAAAAGAAUUCAGGAAAACUAUCUUCAACUAUAUUGCUGGAUAGCAUUACUUUAUAAAUAUUAAUUUUACUCUGUGGUUACUGUAUGGUAAUGGAAUUAUUUUGGCCCCUUAAAACCUUAGAAAAAAUCAAACUAAUUGUGCCUUGUAACAUUUGUGGUUUAUGUGUCCAUUGACUGCUUGCAAUUUCCAGGCAGGCUGCAUCCUUGAACUAUUCACUGUCUGAACUUGCCCUCAAAGAAUUCUUCCUCCUGCCUCACCUCUAUCGAGUGGCAGCCAAUGGAAAACCCACAAGCUCAGCAGCUGCAGCUCUGGAAGGCUUCCAUCAAACCCUCAUUCCCAAAUCCCCUUUGAAAAUCACAGCUCCUAGAGCUUUGUGUUAUCUUCUUGAAGGUCUUGACUAAUGUUUGUAACAUUGUAAAACUUAAGCAAACACUGUCUUCAAGACCAGGAUUCUUAAAGUUGGACUCUGUGUUAACUUGCCUGCACCAAAUCAUGUACUGCCCCUCAACUGCACUCUUAAAUUCUUACCCUGGAAAGUAGCCUGAAAAGCAGAUAUUAGGACGGGAGCUUUUUAAAUGGUCAGUAGGAAAUUAAAAAGCUUAAUAAGUUCAGAAAGUGCCUCUUUGACAAUUCAGAAUUGAUUUUAAAAAAAAACCUGAUAUAUUGAAAAUAUGUGGUGACUCAGCCCUGUUCUUGCUCCUCUAAAUUUUAUUCUUUCCAUGAAUUGUUUUUAGGAUUUAGAGGUCAAGUAUCCAGUAUACCUGUCUCAGAGGAAACAAUAUUAUUUUCCUAAGUGAACAUCUAGUACAAAAGUGACUGUUUUAUGUAUAACUGAGCAGUACCAAAAUCCAGUUCUUAGCCAGCCUUUUUAUAUAUGAAUCAUAUUAUUUAAUCCAGAUUUCUUUGAAACCACAACCAGACACACAGUAUGGUUAUUUGAUUGAAGAAACAUGGUGCUAUUAUUCAACCCGCCAUGCGUUAUUUUGCUUACAUUAGUGACCCGUUAAUACACUUAAGAAAAGAAGUAAUUUGCAUCAUCAUCCAUUGAAAUUGACAAGACUGGAUGUUGGUGAUUAUGGACACUAAAUUCCAUUGUGGGGAAAGUUCCUGAUCUCUGUGUAGCACAAGACUGGUUUUUCUAGACUGUCUCAAAAGUAUAUCCAGGAACUCAGAAUGGGGGGAAAAAGCUGCAGCCAGGGGACAAAUAUGUGCUAAUGUACCACUUAUUGUCUGGAGAAAAUGUACACUCAUGGCAGCAGUAAGAAGUUAUUUGGUCUGUAUUUAUUUACAAUGUGCAGGCUGCAGAAUGUUAGCAUUCUGAUUAUGGCCAGAUGUAAUGGAAAGAAUUCACUAGCAUUUUCACACUGGCUUUAGUAAGGAAUGCACUUUUUGAAUCAACAUUGGUUAAAAGGUAGCCACUUCGUUCCAGUAAUCCAAAAGGUUCUUUGUGUUGCCUAAAUAAUAGAGGAAAUUAUUUGGGGCCUCAAAUCCCAUCUGAAUUGGCUGCUUUUGGUCAUUUAAACAUGCUUCCUUAUCAGUAAAACUAAGCAGACACUUUUAAUCUGAUAGCAAAUGUCUAGUAUUUAGGUAAGACAGUGAGUUUAGAUUUAUGAUGGGGAACCCUCAGAGUUCAAAGUACACCUGCUUGAAAUAAUGUUGAUAAAGAAUAUUAGUGUCAGUUUUCCUAAUGGGAAGGAGGGGCAUGCUUUAAACCUAGACUUUCUAUGAAAUAUGCAGCCUUAGGAGAAUAUCCACUCUGAUCAGUAAACGGUAUAUACAUACGAAUAUAUUUGUUUGUGGUGUUUUUUCUCAGUAGAAUAUCUCAAUCACUGCAGUAGUCCACUUUCCUAUUUUAAUGUUUUGACUAUCAGUUGUUUAAGUAUCAAAAAACAACUUGGGAUGUCAAGAAAAAAGCCAUUUUGCUAUCUCCAUGUAGUCAGCAAAAUGCUAGGGGGUUCUCUCCAGAUAGCUUGAAGACCUGUUUAUCUUAUGUUAUUUUUUAGGGUUGAUCUGUUAUCAUAAAUGUAUAUUCGAAAUUGUUAUCCAAAUUGUAUGUGUUUCAAGUUUGUGCUUUCUAGGAUUAUUAGCAAUUUGAUGAUGAAAGCCAUCUACAUUUUCAAGUCCCUUGAACCAAAUGUAUUUUAAACAAUUAAAUUCAUAAAUGAAUGUCCAUGCUGUGCGCAUAUUCCUCCUUAAAUUAUUAGUAUUAUUAUUAUUAUUUGAGACACAGUCUCACUCUGUCACCCAGGCUGGAGUUCAAUGGCACAAUCUUGGCUCACUGCAACCCCCGCCUCCUGGGUUCAAGCAAUUCUCCUGCCUCAGCCUCCGGAGUAGCUGGGACUACAGGCGCAUGCCACCACGCCCAGCUAAUUUGGUAUUUUUAGUAGAGACAGGGUUUCACCAUGUUGGCCAGGCUGGUCUCGAACUCCUGAUCCACCCGCCUCAGCCUCCCAAAGUGCUGCAAUUACAGGCGUGAGACACUGCACACAGCUGAAUUAUUUACUUGAAUUUUUUAAUGCCCUCUGGUUCCCAGUAAUCAAACACUUUGACCUUUUUCACCCCACCAAACUGUUAAAGAAAUUGAACCAUAGAAGAGGCAGAAACUUUUAUCAUUCUGAUAUAGGGGUAUUUCUUGAUUACCUUUAAAUUUAUUUUAUUGUAAUAGAAAAAUUCAAAUGUAGAGAGAAAUGGAAAAGAAAGAAUCCCCAUGUGCUCAUCACGAGCUAUAGCAGUCAUCAACUCAUGGCCAACUUUGUUACAUCUUUAUUCCUUUCCCCCACAUUGGAUUCUUUGAAAGCAAAUCACAUACAUGUAAUUUCUAUGGAUGGUCUAUUAUGUGAUUUGAACUUUGUUGGGCUCUGAGGAUAAAAAGAUGAAUGAGACAUAGUCCUUAUUCUCAGGGAUCUCAUCAGAUUCUUCUGGGAUAAUAAUGUUUACUAGUAGUCAGUGUAAUUAUAAGUCCAUUGUAACAUAGAACCCAAAACUAAAAACCCCUGUACCAUCUCUAUACAUUGCAUAAACUUAAUAUAAAAGGAAUUAUGGUAUAGUAGUUCCUAAAUCCACUUUUAGGAAGGUCUUCUAAGGCAUGAAAAAUUUCCUAGCUCUGUCAACUAAAAAGGUCUAGAAUCAAUGACACCUUGUAGCAAUGAACACAUGCAACACAUAAAGCUUCUACAUCUCAUUUCCCACUAAGAGGAACAAAGCCUUCUUGGAGAAGUAGCUGACUGCAGGGCUGUUGGAGGAAAAAAAAGAUGAGCCUGGAACAUCUUUUCAUGCCACGAUGUUAGGAAGUCUCAAAAAAUGAUGAGGACAUGUCAAAAGGACACCAGAGUUGGCUUGAAAGGACUGCCACUGGCCUAAUCUGAAACAACCUGAAGAGCGAAAUAAUUAUAAAAUGGAAGGUGACCCAUUGAAUAAAAUAAGAAUUCAUGAGUUUGUUCAUGGUGAUAAUAGGUAGAUACUACAUGUGUAAGAAAGAAAAGUUAUUCUUUACAGUAGAAUGCCUACUAAUAAAUGUAGAAGAAAUAUAGAUUAGAAAACCACCAUUUUGCAGCCAUCAUAGUUGCAAAUAGUUAAGAAGUAUCAAUGGCUGCUGAAACAAUUUUUUAAAAGUUCAGUGAGGAACAGGAUAUUUACAUAUCUCAAAGAAUUUUCCACAAAUUACUUAUUAAUAAUCAUGGGAAAUAGUAGUUUUGGAGUAGAGAAGCCUGGUAGUGACACUUUAACCAAGUGAUCAAAGUUACCAUCAUCAAUAGUAGAACAAAUUGACAUCUUGUGCUUCUUGAUAUUACGCAGUGAGAAAGAUACGUUAUUUCUGUGGUAUUCCUGCCCCAAAUAUGCAUAAUUAAUUUAAUAUUAAGGAAAUAUCAGACAAACCUAAACUAAAAGAUACUCUUCAAAAAUGUUAGUAUCCUGAAACACAUAAAUAAAGCUGAGCCAUUUCAGAUUAAAAGAAACCAAAGAGACAUAAAAACUAAAUGUGUGGGUUCUUUCAUUUGGAUCCUGGAUCGGGGGAGGAAAUGCAAACAGAACAGUAUUGGGACAAUUGGUAAAAUUUGAAUAAAAUGUGGGGAUGAAACAUAAUGUUGUGCUUAUAUACAUUUCCUGAUUUUGAUCAUUGUGGAGUAAGUGAAUUUCUUUAUUCUUAGGAAAAUACAUUGUAAUAUUUAGAGGCAAAGGGACAUGAUGUCUGCAACUUACUCAGAUGGUUUAGAAAAACAAAUGUGUGUAUAUGUAGAAAGAGAAUAAAAUGCAAAAGUGGUAAAAAUUUUAAUAACUGGUGAAUAUGGGUGAAGGGUAAAAGAUUUUUUGUAGUAUUCUUGCAAAUUUUAAGUUUGAAGUUAUUUUAAAAUUUAACAAAAGAUUAAAACAAAGCAAACAGACACACACACACACACGCACAUUGUUAUCUUCACUUUAAAUAAAGCCAGCGCAACAUAUAGAAAUCUGAAAAUCAUACCCUAAGAUAAACUGAGGAAUACAAAAUUUUUGUCUCCCAACAAAGUUGCUACAGAAAUCCUUUUAGCAAUCUUUAUGUUCAAAUCAUAAAAUGUAUAAAUAACAUAGAAAUAGUGUCCCAUAUCCCCUUCUGUAAAUUGAGGCACACCUACAUUUGUUUUAGCUCUGUCCUGAUAAGUUUCUCUAUGCAUCUUGCUUGCUUUGGGAAGCUCAUUGCAUAAAGCUGUGUAUAAGUGAAUGUUUAAAUGUUUUUGAGGAAAAUGACAGUGAUGAUAACUUGACCUCCAGUACAGAUUAAGACCUUUAAAAAACUAAAGCUCUACUAAUUUCUUCCUCACAAUUACCUGAGUAGCUUUACAGCCACACUAACUGGCUCUGAAUCGCUUAGGUUUUCCUUUUUAAUCGCUUUUCUUUUUUUUUUUUUUUUUGGGGGGGGAGGGAACAGAGUCUCAAAUCUCGCUCUGUCGCCCAGGUGGAGUGCAGUGGCACAAUCUCGGCUCACUGCAACCUCUGCCUCCUGGGUUCAAGCAAUUCUCCUUGCCUCAGCCUCCCGAGUAGCUGGGAUUACAGGCACCUGCCACCAUGUCCAGCUAAUUUUUGUAUUUUUAGUAGAGACAGAGUUUCACCAUACUGGCCAGGCUGGUCUUGAACUCCUGACUUCAGGUGAUCCAGCUGCCCUGGCCUCCCAAAGUGCUGUGAUUACAGGCGUGAGCCACCACGCCCGGCCUCUCUUUUCUUCUCAUUAAAAUAUAACUCUUACAGAAAUAAUAAGAAAAGUAAUGAAGUAAUGAGUCUAUUAUUUUGAGCCCAUCCAAAAAAAAUUGCUUAACUGGCAACAGAUAGAAAAAUAAGAUAUUGAAUUAUCCAAAAGCUGAUUAGCCAAAUUAUUUCUUUUUUCACCAUUUUUUUGCUUAUAGAGAAUUCGAGUAGGGAGCGGAAACAGGCAAUACUACUCAGUCAGUUGUAGUUUCUUAUUGACUGUUCGGUUUAAUUUCAAAAUUAACAAACAUUGUAAUUGCAAAAGAUUGGAAAUAACCUAAAUGUACUUUUGUAGGGACUGGAAGUAAAUAGGAUUAUUCAUUUAUCCAAUACUAUGCUUCCAUAACAAAAACUGGAAAGCUAUUUAUGGGUUUUGUUUGUUUCUUUCUUUUUAAAGGACACGAUCUCAGUCCAUGUCCUACAUAGUAGCCUCAAACUCCUGGGCUCAAGCGAUCCUCCCACCUCAGCCUCCCAAGUAGCUGAGAUUACAGGUGCCAAGCCACGGUGCCCAGCUGCUCCUUAUGUACUGAUACAGCAGGAUCUCCCAGAUGUAUUGUUAAGUCCAAAAGGCACAGUACAGAACAUAUUGUCUAUAUCGUAUGCUACCUUUUGCAUGUAAUAAAAAGAAGAAAGAAUGAACGUACAUGUUUGUCUGCAUAUGUAUAAAACGUCUUUGAAAAAUGCACACACAAUAUUGCUUGCCUAAGGAAAUAAGAAUUUUGUGUUGGGAGACAAUAAUUUUGCAUUAAUUCAGCAAUAACAGAUGUUGGAAAAACUCCUAAAUUUAAUGCUUAUAAAAAGAAUAGGAAAUUAUGCUUUCACCAGUGUUGUAUUGGUAUUGAAAUUAUCAUCAUCUAAUAAUAGUUCAUCAAACACAGAGACAUUCCCAGACCUUUCACUGUAGUGGUGAAAACCAUUAUGCAUUUUAUCUAAUUCAGUUAGUCUGCUUUACUUAUUAACUUGACCUCAAAAAACUGAGCAACCUUUUCUAAGUGUUCUUGAUCACAGUAGUACAGCCUAUGAAGUACAUAAGAAGUACAGCCAAGACUCACCUGCUACAGGAAUAUCAAAGAGCAGAUGAAAUAUAAUCUAUGAUUAUAUUUCACAGUAUGUAGUAUAAAGAUUUCACAGUAUAAAGAUUUCAGUGGAGUUCUACAAAAAUACCAACUUGGUUUAAUACUUAAUGGAAAGGAAAACAGUAAAAUUUAUUUCAAAUUAGAUAGUGUAAGAUUCAGUCUUAUAAUAUGCGGGAUACCAGGAGUACCUUGGAAAAGCCAGAUACCAAAUAAGAUCUAGGAAAUUUUUAGGAAUCCAGAAGAAUCUAGAAAAGCAUUGUCCCUAGAGUUGAUAUUUCAGUAUAUCACCAAGUAAUUUUUCAUCCAAGAUCUCAGUGCUUCCCUUAAAUUAGAUAUUAAAUGGCAUGUGGUAAUUCCCCCCAGUGGUUUUCUUCACAGUUAACGACUUUCUUCUUUUUUUUUUUUUUUGAGAUGGAGUCUUGUUCUGUUGCCCAGGCUGGAGUGCAGUGGCAUGAUCUCGGCUCACUGCAACCUCCACCUCCCAGGUUCACACCAUUCUCCUGCCUCAGCCUCCCGAGUAGCUGGGACUACAGACGCCCGCCACCAUGCCCGGCUAAUUUUUUGUAUUUUUAGUAGAGAUGGGGUUUCACUGUGUUAGCCAGGAUGGUCUCGAUCUCUUGACCUCAUCAUCCGCCCACCUUGGCCUUCCAAAAUGCUGGGAUUACAGGCAUGAGCCACCGUGCCUGGCCUCAUAGUUAACAACUUUCUUGAUCUAUCUACCUGCAUUUUAUAAUUGGAUACAUGAAUCAAUCCAAGCUGUCUGAAUAUUUUUUUUUCUUCCUGCACCCACAAAAGCCAGUGAGAAGUAGGAACCUAAGACAAUCUCUGGAACAGGUAACCAUCUCUUACCACUUACAACAUAAGAUUAAACAAAGAGUUCUCUCUUGUGGCUUAUUUGCAUAUUUCAUUUGCAUAAUUCUCAUCUAACUCCCUCUUUUAAAAAAAGUAUUAAUUAUUCAAAUAAAUACUAUUUAUCCAGGCCAUAAACAGUAUAUUAAAGUUCUCUCCCCGAGAAUCAUUUGUAUAGUUCCAGAUAAUAGCAUUCCAUUUUAAUAUAGAUGAGUACACAGAUGUGACCGUGGUUUUAGAAACAGUUUAGGUAGCAUCAAGAAACAUCUGCACAUUUUCCCAGCAGCCUGAGUAACUAGUAGUGAUUUGUACAGACUUCUCUGCAUCUGCUUUUUCCCCCCUUCCUUUUUUCAGCACAUCUAGAUGAUUAAUAGACUGAACAGGCCCUUAUAUAUGCAUUCUGACAGCCUUUAGGACGGUCUUGGUUGACAAUACACACAUAAGCCAGUGUUGUUAUCAUGAAACACUUCAUUUGAAUGACUAUUACAGGCUGAACAGGAUGUCCUAUGCCAAGAGGUUGUGACAUUUUGAGAGGGUGGUGCUGGGAGCCAUGUGGGACUCUUUUCCCAUCACAGCCAAGUUGACAUUUUCUCAGGUUGUAGGAUCAUUAGGGCUGCAAAGGGAGAAACUUUGUCAGUGGCUGGGUAGAUGUCCCUUGAGCCUGGAUUAUGCAUUUGAAAAAAUGGUUUCUUUGCCUUAGGGAAGAGAGUCUCAUUUUAAAAAGAAAAAGGUUUUUAUAACGAGUUCAUGUAUUCCACUAUGAAUUUUGCUGAAAAAUCUGUCCUGAAGUAUGUCUUUGCUGCCAAAUCCCACGCUUUACAGUUAACCAAAGUUGACUCUGUAUGACCUGUUACAUUUUCCUUAGACAGUUGGAUGUGAUCACAGAAGGGUGACUGCCAAAGUUUUAUUUCAGCUCAGAUAUAGCUAAAUGCAAGAAAUCACUUCCUGACACCUUUCUUCUGCCUGCCCCACCCUAAAUCACCAUUUUUCAAACAAGCUAUGGAAUCUACAAAAUGGCCUACCUGUGUUCCAAGUUAAUUUUGAGAAUGGCUUUUUAUGGCUGGUUUGUAAUCUCUUUAGAAAAGCAAAAUUAUGAUGGAAACUCUAUGACAUCCUAAGCUGUAAGCACUUGAAGAUGAAUGUAACUUCAGGUCUGUGAAGCUAAAUAUUUACCUUCCACAUGAUUUACUGCGUCUUUGUUCCUUUCCACACUGAGCUUUUUCUUUAUGUGCAUCCCUUCAUCUCCAAGCUACUUUUUAGUAGCCCUGUUAUAUCAGUGUUUUGUGAUGUUACAAAAAAGCAAAGAAUGUGAGGUCAAAUUUUCCAUUACACACUUCAACAGGAAUGCCAGGGAACUUAGCCAAACUAAGGCUACAAAAAAAAUAAAAAUAAAAAUUACAGGAAAGAUGAUUCAUUAAUCAACAAUUGCCUUACCAAGAAAAUAGAAUUACUUGUAUGUAUUUGGUUUGGGGAAGGGGGAUAAGUGCAGAUAUCCUGGCUAUGAGUGAAAUGGAGGUAUUUUAUGUCUAUGUAGCAUGGUUUUAGACCUACCAGAGAUCUUUUAAACAGUAAAAUUCAGGAGAAAGGAUAACUCAUGUUGUGCCUUGAUUUAUCUCACCUUUUUCUUCUUUCAACAUGAAAGUAUAUCACAUGCUGACCCCAACUACAAUUUGAUUUAAAAAAAUAAUGACAGCUGAAAACUAGGAUAGAAAGGCACAGGCUGCACCUCAGGAACAGUGAGAACAGGGACCAUUGCCAUUCCUUCCUCUUUCUUCAGCUAUAUGAUCUGAGUCCCUUUUUAUUUCAUAUAUGCCCCCUUCUGCUCCCCUUUCUCUUUAUUUUGCCAUAAGCUCUGGAUCGUAAUCCAUCCCUAAAACAUUGUCAUAUUAAUAGAAAUUCUGGAAUUUGACCUUUAAAUGUAGUCAUUAUUACAUAUUAAAGGAUCUACAAAGGGCAAAAAUUGUGGCAGUAGAUGAAAACAAUAGCCACUGAAAUUUUUUAAAGCCCACAAGCUUGUAAGAUUCCUCUUAAACAAACAGAAUGAUCCAGUCACAGAGCUUAGUGCUGUAAAUGUCAAUAUAAACUUGAUUUUUUUUUGUAUUCUAAUAAGAAGACCAGCCAGUAACAAAAAAACAUUGGCUCUGUGACCAGCCAAUACCAGAUACAGUGAAAUCUGUUAUCUGAUGUUUCGUCAGCUAGCCUGUGAGCACCAUCAUGUAAUAAAAUUCUCUAAACUGUGAUUCACGGUGCUACAAGAUCUUUGUGCACCUUUUGACUAAUCAGAGACAAAUCAUAUCAGGCUCUUGUAUUAUUUUAUUACCAAGUGUAUUUUAUUUUAAUUCUUUGGAAAUUGGUAAUCCAUGUAUGGUUCAGACAUUGUUAACCAGAGUACAUAAUUAGAACAAUUCCAACCAUGCCAGAUGAUACUGUAUUUACUGAAGAAUUUUAUUGCCUUUUAUGGAGAACAUGAGGGAGGAAUAGAGAACAGGUUUUUUUUCUUUUCUUUUGCCACAUAGCUGAUAACCCAGUUGCUAUAACCAUUUCUUCCACACAAAGGGACAACAACAUGAGAAAUACACGUUUUAAAGUUCCUAACAAUCGAGUACUUCUUACGGGAAGCUGGGACAGUUCAAGAAAAAAAUGGAUUGAAGGAGAGGAAUAGAGCCAAAGUUCCCAGACCUUGACAACUAGGGCAAAUGUAACAAGUCCACAUUCAUCAUGGAAAAAUGUAAAGUCCUACAUGUUUGUGGAAGAAAAUGACUGCAUUCGCAGAACAAGAGGGAUAAAGGGCUAACAUAGCCUGUGCUGGUCACAGCCUUCUUUGCUCAUCUCUCUUUACCUCAAUGUGAAGAUCAGUGACAGACCCCCUGAGCAGGGAAUGUUUUUUGAAUUAUAAUGAUGGAGACAAGUAUCCUGUGUCUCAAAUUGACAAGAAGUACUCCCCAGUCCUCAAAGCUCAGAGAGGCUUUCUUCAGGCAUAUCCAGUAUUUCAUUCUUUACUGUGUUGUGCCUUAUCUGCUCUCUGUACAUACAAGUAAGGAAAAGAGAAAAUAUAUGCAGAAAAUCAUGUCCAGUAAGUUUUAUUCCCCUUUGAAAGAUUAUAUUUUGUCUUUUGAAAGUCUCUCUGUCUCUGUUCUUUUCAGCUAUAUUAAAUAUUUGUUUCCUUCGUUCUUGAAUCUCAUUUUCUUGAGGCUUAUAGCAGCUCAGCAGUCUCUAAGGUCUCUUUUCCCUCAUCCAUACUCUCACUUCUCUAUUUUUGACUACUUUUGCAGGCCAGUAGGUAUUUAUUAUGUCUCAUUUGCUGUGGGAGACAGGCUCCACCCCAUCCUACCAUACUCCCAGACUUUAUUCCUUUUAACCAUCUAACUAGCCAUCCAUUUGAGUCAGUUAGGACAUGGAGACUUGAGAAAUUUACAUCCCUGGAAGGUGAUUAUGAUAUGUUGAAUUUAUUUUUUAAAACUUUUUUUACAAAAUGACAAAAAAUUGUGUAUAUUUAGGGGAUACAAUGUGAUAUUUUAAUCUCUGUAUACAUUAUAGAAAGAAUCAAUCAAGCUAGUUAACAUAUCCAUCACCUCACCAACUUAUUUUAUUGUGACAAGAACAUUAAAAAUCUAUCCUUUUAGCAAUUUUGAAAUAUGCAGUAUGUUAUUUUGAAUAACUGUAGUCAUUAUGCAGUGCAAUAGAGAUCAGCUUUUUAGAUUCUACAUAGAAAUGAGAUCAUACAUACUUGUCUUUCUGUGCCUAGCUUAUUUCACUUAGCAUGAUGUCCUCCAGUUCCAUCCACGUUGUUGGAAGGACAGAAUUUCCUUCUGUUUGAAGGCUAGCUAGUAGUUCAUUGGGUGUAUAUACCAUAUUUCUAUGACAAACUCUGUCCUGCUUUGCAAGAUUUUAAAAGGGAAUGUGCUUUAGAACAAGACACAUUGAGAUUUGGGUUCAAAUCCUGUGACCUUGAGCCAGUUACUUGCCUCGUUUAUUCAUUUAACAAAUUUUGAUUGAGCGUCUUCUAUGUGCCAGGCAUUGUGAUGGGCACAAGCGAUGCAGUUGUUUACAAGAUUGACAUGGUCUUUGCCCUAAUGAAGUUUAUAUUCUAGUUAGGGAAACCAGUGAAAAAUAAAUAUUUAAAUAAGUAUUUACAUCAUAGUAUAAAGAAGUAACACAGGGGUAAUCUGUCAAGGGGGGCAGUGAAAACUAUUUUUGAAACAAUAGGUAAGCUGAGGCUCAAAGAAUGAGUAGGAGUUAGCCAAACAGAGUAUACAAGAGCAUCACAGGCUAAAGGACAGCUUGCUCCAAGAACCCAAGUCAGGAAGGAACUUGAGACAAAAGAGGAACUGAAAAAAGUCAAGCUAGACUAGAGCCCAGUGAAAGAGAGGGAAGUAGAAAGAUACAGAGGUAGUGAAGCCAGAUUAUACAGGGCCUUAUAGGCACUGGCAAGAAUCUUGGUCUUUUCUAAGAGCAAUGAGUAACCAUUGAAAGAUUUUUUUAAUGAGGUAAAAACUUGAUUUGUAUUUAAAUCACUCUGAUUAUUGUACCUCAUCACACAGUAGAUGAGAGAAGGAAACCAAUGUGAAAAAGGCUGGUGCCAUUUUUCAGGUGAGAGAUGAUGGUGGCAGUCAAUGGAGUGGUUAAUGGCUCCAAAACAGAUUUAGGAGGUAGAGCUGACAGGACUAGUGGCUCUCUGCUUUGGUGACAUUGCAGAAUAGUAGUGUCUCUGAUGACUUCCAUUUUUCUGAUAUGAGGUGCUGUUUCCUGAAGUUAAGAACAUUUAGAGGAGAGUCUAGCCUGGGCGUAGAGAGGACUAGAUCCUAAGCUCAGUUUGGAACAUGUUUGAUCUGAGAUGCUUGUGAUAUAUCCAAGGGGAGAUGGUAUGCAGGUAAUUGUAAAAACAGAUCUGGCGCUCACAAGAGAUGUAGGCUAGAAAUAUAAAUUGGAUAACAGUUUAUAGAUUAUAUUUAAAGCUGCGAAUAUGACCUCUCGAAGCCUUAGUUGUUGCAUCUAUAACUUGGAAGUAAUGAUCUAGCUGUGCAAAGAGGUUGAAAGGGAUGCGUACAGCACAUAGCACAGUAUCUAGCUCAUAGUAAGCACUCAAUAUAUGGUAAUUGCCAUUAUUACUAUGUCUAGGAAAAUCUCACAGCCUUAUUCUCUGAGUUAGCACUAAUUGACAAAGAGGAGAGUGGAAAAGAGUGAAUAAAGGAAUGAACAUAAAUCUGUGAAAAUAUGUGUAUAAAAUCGAGAUAAAACCAUUAGCUUUCAUUGUGCUGCUGUGUUAGAAUUUUUUUUUUGUAAUUUUUAAUUCCCAGGCAUCCCUCCUCUCGCAAACACCUCCUAUAAUUCUCCCCCUGAAAAAUCAGGGGACUUCAUUUAUCUUAAAUGGGACAUUUGGACCCAAAUGAUUUCUGAGGCUGCCCCCAGGUUCUUCAUCUUGGUGGGUUCUCAUUAUUGCUGCUGCAGUGACUGAUUGAUUUGUUGAGAAAUAUCUGUCUAAAUAUUCUUCUGGUAACAUUAUUUUUAGGAAGGCAAAGCCUUUACAUUUCCAGACGGCAGCUUUGCUGUGAAUGUGGGGAAACCACAGAAAGCUGUAACACAUUGCACAUGUCAGCAAGGCCUUCUGGGCUUCUUGGCAUUCCUAAUGAUGAUAAUGAUCCCACUUGGUGGAGUCUGACCCUCCCUGCAGCUGGUGUCCUUUCUGCGCAGGGAUGAGGUCACUGGGGAAGGGGGAGGAGGCGGAGCUGGGGUGGAUGAGAGAAGGGAAGGGGAAGAAGCUGUCACAUCUGCAUUCUUGGUGGAAAAAUGGAAACAUGUUUGCCACAUGCUUGCUUUGUUUGUUUAUUUUUUAAGGAAAGGGUAUGGAGAGGCAAGAGAAUAGUGAGGAAUUGUAACAUGAUGACUGCUUGGUUUUCCCCCAAGGCUUCACAGCUAAAUAGCUGUAUUCUCAAUAACAGGCUCAUCAAAUUUCCCAGGGCACUGAUAACUCUAUGAAUCUAAUCCUGAAUACUUGAAACUGAUCAGGGCCAGGAUAUUCCAGCGUUUGGAUCCAGUAACUUCUUUAGAGUUGUGAAAAUUCCUAAUUCUAGAUAGUCCACUCCUCCUUAUGCCUCAGACAUGUCUUAAAAAGGGAAAUUCAGAAUUUGCAGAAUUAUUUUUAUAUUUGGCAAUGUAGUUAAAAGUAUCAGGUUGUUCACCUAUUUCUCAAAGUUGUCACUGAAAGUAAACAACCUUUUUUUUUUUUUAAGUUUACUAGUAGUAGCCUAACUGGUAGAUCAUAGUUUUAUCUCUAGAGCUUGUUGUAUAUACAGAGAUUAUAAAUCUAGAAUUCCCCAACUCCCCCCAGGAUUUGGGAUUGUUGUUACAAUUGGUUGUUGUUGAUGUUUUUGUGAGGAGAGAGGUUAGCAAAAGAGGGGUCCUGUUGUCAUUACAGGGAAUGACCUGGCCUGGGCAAAAUCACAACCAACCACUUGGCCAUCUCAGCUCCAGGUAAUAGAAAUAAGUCAGCGCUGACAGAAGUGAGAAAAAUACUCAAAAUGCUCUCAAGAUGGUUUUGAACCCUUCAAACCUGAUAAGGCCAGGUCUGAUUAGCCUUUGUAUCUUCAAUACCUCAGCCAGGGCCUAAUAGAUAGUAAGUGCUCAGUGAGUGGUGAGUGGCCAAGUAACCCAGUUUUCCUAUUUUCCAUGGUUCAGGACUACUGUUGGUAGGCAGAACAAAUGACCAUGAGUAAUUAGGUAGAGGGAAAAAAUAUUUCCUCCUAAAUCAUGGAGAAAGAGGCUGUUAUUUAAGUAAAUAUAAUAAUUGACUAUCAACAGUGCUCCCGACUUGAGUUUUCAAGAUAAAAUGUAAAGGGUAUUGUCCUCAGGUUUUGAAGGUCCAAAACUGCUAAAUGUUUAGCCAUUGAAGUUUUCUAACCUAAAUUUCCUUGUUGGUAAAAUGGGUAUAAUACUUUCUCUGCCUACCUUUCUAGGGUUAUUUUCAGGAUUAAAUGCUUUUAAGGAAGUGAAACUAGUAAAAACUAUCGGAGGGAAGUGUUGUUAUUUUCUUCUUUUGAGAACAAUAUAUCUUUAAACAUUUUUAGAAGAAAAAAAGGUUUUGAAUUCCUUGAAGAAAAGGUGCUUCCAAAGCAUAUUUAUUGAUGCUAUUAUUGUAAAUCCCUCUUUAAGCUUCAUGCAUUUAAAAAUUAAUGACAACUCUCCUCUUCCUUUCUGGAAAGCUUUUAUGACUUAACUCCAAAUUCUAUGUGUUUAAAAAAACUAAAGUAUCAUGUCCUCCUUAAAGAAUACCAUUAUUAUUCAUAACCUCUGAAACCAGCGAGGGUCAUAAAGCUACUGACUGCGAAUGAUUAAGUGGCCACAAAUAAAACACUGGUAUUACCACAUGUAAAUUCUUUCCCUGCAGUUUAUGCCUCCGCAAACAGUGAUUCAACUGCAGGUGUCUGUCAAGAGACAGUAGAGUUUUGUCCUUCUGGAAGCCUCACUGUAUGUGAAGUCAAGAAACAAUGCCCCUGCCACUGUCUAGCUAUAGCCUCAAUCAAAUCAUUUCACCUCUCUUAGCCUCUGCUUCCUCUUUUAACUGACAGGGCAUUCAGUGGCUGUGCGUCUGGGCCUCACUGCUCUCCCCAGAAGGCAUUUGAAAAAAAAAAGGAAGGCAUUUUUGGUUGUCAAAAUGACAGGGUGGGCGAAAAAUGAUAGGAUGGAGGUAGCUUCUGGCACUUAGUAGGCAAAUUUUCUAUGGUGAGUUGAGCAGACUCAUGAAAGAACGAAUUGUCCCUCCUAUAGUGUAAAUAUACCCUCCUAAGAAACACUGGGCCAUAGCUUGUGAAAGUGAAAGGGUUUAAAUUAGUAGUAAGGGACUGUCCCAGGCAAGCUGGCAUAUAGGGGCCAAACAGCCACAAUCCAAGUCCACUUGUGCUUGCAUUGUCUUCCUGCAUUCUGGCCCUGUUUGCCCCACAAAUGACCAGGUCCCAAGCUCUGCUGAACAGCCCUCAGGGAAGGGGACAGAUAGGUCCAGACCAAAUCCUUCCACUGUCUUUAUUUUACUAGGAAAACUAGCAAUAGACUUAAAGUUAACUCACUUGUUUAUCCCUUAAUUUGGUUAUGCUUUAGUCCCAGAGGCCCCUCAUUUCUCCCCUUUCCAGACCUUCAGAGCCUUCGGCACUGCCAGCCCUCAAGUAUGGCAGCUGCUUGAAGCAUUUGCUUGGGGUGAGUUGGGGAAAGAGGAGGAAGAGUAGAGCCAGCUCUUCCCUGCAGCUGUGGCUAACCGAGGCAAGCUGUGACACGGAGCUCACUCCAUCUCAGUCAGAGCCCACCCUGAAGCCAUAUCUGUGGGUGCAAAGUUAUUGUGACACAACCCACCACACAGUGUCAGGGGAGAAACUGAGCAUGGUAAUUGAGGUGCCAGGUGAUUCUUGCACCACUUUUUUGGACUGCCAUUUAGAGAGGGAAAAUAAAAGCCAAAUCAGGAAUCAUUUCCACUCUGUUAACAUCUCACUAAAGGAAGCAAUCAAGUCCAGGUGGGUUUUAUGUUUCUCAGCCCCUGUACAUGGACAAAGACUGGGAUUCCAGAUUUUCCUAACUAGCCCUAGGUUUUUCUCCUAGGACAUUUUCUUUCUGCUUCUAAAAUUGUAUUUUACUCUUUAAAAAAAAAUCUGUUGUGCAGAAUUAUAUAAGGUUGAUAUGAUGGCCUAGACUGAUUGCUUAAAUAUGGACUUGGACAGUUAUGGAAAAGCACUUUUGUUUGUGUCAUGGAAUUAAAGUUACCACACACACAAUUGUCUAUUUUCAAACCUAAUGGAUUACAUCUUAUAUGAAUAAAAGAGUAUAGCAAACAAAAGGGCAUAAAAUUUUUAUGCCAGAAACAAAGUCGAUGUCUGAAUUUAACUGGAAAAAAACUGUAGAAAUUUGUGUCUGACAAUUGCAAACAGUUCUCUUUCCUUGUUUUUUCUUUUACCUUCUCUCCUUACUAUUUGAAGUUAUACCUUUGGGAACACAUAUCUUCUCUACAUUAUAGAAACGUGGCAAUAAAUCAUGGUAACAAAUAAA